AUUGAACGCUGGCGGCAGGCUUAACACAUGCAAGUCGAGCGGGGAAGGGUAGCUUGCUACCUAACCUAGCGGCGGACGGGUGAGUAAUGCUUAGGAAUCUGCCAUUUAGUGGGGGACAACAUUCCGAAAGGAAUGCUAAUACCGCAUACGUCCUACGGGAGAAAGCAGGGGAUCUUCGGACCUUGCGCUAAAUGAUGAGCCUAAGUCGGAGUUAGCUAGUUGGUGGGGUAAAGGCCUACCAAGGCGACAAUCUGUAGCGGGUCUGAGAGGAUGAUCCGCCACACUGGGACUGAGACACGGCCCAGACUCCUACGGGAGGCAGCAGUGGGGAAUAUUGGACAAUGGGCGGAAGCCUGAUCUAGCCAUGCCGCGUGUGUGAAGAAGGCCUUAUGGUUGUAAAGCACUUUAAGCGAGGAGGAGGCUACUUAGAUUAAUACUCUAGGAUAGUGGACGUUACUCGCAGAAUAAGCACCGGCUAACUCUGUGCCAGCCGCCGCGGUAA
rnacentral:rRNA from 1 species